rnacentral:tRNA from 1 species
AGCGGGCGUGGGCGAGCGUGGCGAGGCUGUCGGCCUCGCCGCGGCGGUCGCCGAUCUCCCGGUGCAGCGCCAGGGCCCGCUC